rnacentral:snRNA from 1 species
UAGGAAUUACGCUCUUUUAUAAUUGUCCAGUAGGUUUCUCUUAAUGAGAAGCCCCC